rnacentral:rRNA from 1 species
AUUGAACGCUGGCGGCAGGCCUAACACAUGCCAGUCGAGCGGAUGAAGGGAGCUUGCUCCUGGAUUCAGCGGCGGACGGGUGAGUAAUGCCUAGGAAUCUGCCUGGUAGUGGGGGAUAACGUCCGGAAACGGGCGCUAAUACCGCAUACGUCCUGAGGGAGAAAGUGGGGGAUCUUCGGACCUCACGCUAUCAGAUGAGCCUAGGUCGGAUUAGCUAGUUGGUGGGGUAAAGGCCUACCAAGGCGACGAUCCGUAACUGGUCUGAGAGGAUGAUCAGUCACACUGGAACUGAGACACGGUCCAGACUCCUACGGGAGGCAGCAGUGGGGAAUAUUGGACAAUGGGCGAAAGCCUGAUCCAGCCAUGCCGCGUGUGUGAAGAAGGUCUUCGGAUUGUAAAGCACUUUAAGUUGGGAGGAAGAGCAGUAAGUUAAUACCUUGCUGUUUUGACGUUACCAACAGAAUAAGCACCGGCUAACUUCGUG